AGUGCUAUCGCUUUAACAUCAAUCGAAGCAAAAAUGGCAUCAAUGUAUGCGUCUAAAAAUGUUAAAUUUAGAUGGAGACAAUCCAGAAAUGAGCUGCCAGGAAGUGAUCGAUUUCGGACACGAAGAUUGAGAAGUGCCUGGAUACAAGGCUAGUAUUGUUAACAUCAUUUGAUACAAUCAACUGGAACAAAGCUGAAAUGGCUGCCUGACCUGACUUAAAAAUUGGAUGGCAGUACAUCAGACUAGAAGAUUACAAGUAUUGAGGUGGACAAAAUGAUACCUGAGCCUACCAAAGCUGACAGAUUGCACAAGAAACACAUAAAUGCAGUUGUUGCAGUGAAACUUGCACCAGUGUGUUUUCUGUGGAGAUAAAGAGAUAGUGUCCAGCAAUGAAGACCCAACUCAAGAUAUGACCUUGUAAGGCCAACAUGAAAUAACUGUGUGGGAAAAUGGGAAAAACCUGCAGUCAGGAAUGCACGGAAAUCAUCAA